rnacentral:misc_RNA from 1 species
AAGAUAUUUACUUUUGUAUUGAGUGAUACAUUAAGAGUAGCUCUCGCCAAAUCAACUAUGCCUAUCAAUGCUACAACAAAGUUAUAAGAGUUCAAAGCAUUAAAAACUUUCUUCACCACCUCCUGCGCCUUCUUCCGUACCAAUAUGCAAAUGCAGCUACUGAUGCAGCCACAAUAACGCCUGCCGUUGCAUGCCAAGCAUACAAUGGUUUUUCCAGAAUGAGGCUAGAACCACCGACAUUACCGGUGGGAGAAGUAAGAUGGUUCUUACUAACUGUCAAUGCAAAGCCCAAACCCUGCCUUUCCAGCUCAGUCAAGUCCUCGAUUGCCGGCUUAAGUUUGGUGGCCUUGGCUAUAGCUUCAUAAUCUUCUUUGCUUCCUCCUUCAAGGAAUGACCCAACAAGAUGACCUUUGCUUACCCAGUAAGCUCCAAUUGUACUUCCUGAGUAAUCCCCAAAAUGCACUACUUCCCCUGCAUUGUCCCCAUAAAACUGCCAAGACAGCGUGAAGACCCUGGAAUAGAAAAAUGGCAG